CUUGGUCAUUUAGAGGAAGUAAAAGUCGUAACAAGGUUUCCGUAGGUGAACCUGCGGAAGGAUCAUUAUUGAAUACGUUUGGUUCUGAUGCUGGCUCUUCACUGAGCAUGUGCUCGAUCCAUAACUAUUUAUCUUCUCUUGUGCACCUUUUGUAGUCUUUCAAAGAAGUGAUAACUCCUCGCAGCAAUGCGGUUUGGGGGACUUGGGCGUGAGCCCUUCCCCUGCUUUUGCUUUUUCUGAAGGGCUAUGUUUUCAUAUACACUAUAAAGUUACAGAAUGUCUUUUAAAGAUUGUGCUAGUCGCAGUCAUUAAACCUAUACAACUUUCAGCAACGGAUCUCUUGGCUCUCCCAUCGAUGAAGAACGCAGCGAAAUGCGAUAAGUAAUGUGAAUUGCAGAAUUCAGUGAAUCAUCGAAUCUUUGAACGCACCUUGCGCCCUUUGGUAUUCCGAAGGGCAUGCCUGUUUGAGUGUCACUAAAUUCUCAACCCAAAAAGCUUUUACUAGCUCUUUUGUGGCUUGGAUGUGGGGGUUUUUGCUGGCUUCCUUCAGUGGAUGGUCUGCUCCCCUUAAAUACAUUAGUGGGAUCUCUUGUGGACCGUCACUUGGUGUGAUAAUUAUCUAUGCCAGUUGACUUUGAAGCAAAACUUAUGGGAACCCGCUCAUAACCGUCUUCGGACAACUUAUUGACAUUUUGACCUCAAAUCAGGUAGGACUACCCGCUGAACUUAAGCAUAUCAAUAAGCGGAGGAAAAGAAACUAACAAGGAUUCCCCUAGUAACUGCGAGUGAAGCGGGAAAAGCUCAAAUUUAAAAUCUGGCGGUCCCUGUGGCCGUCCGAGUUGUAAUUUAGAGAAGUGUUAUCCGCGCUGGACCGUGUACAAGUCUCCUGGAACGGAGCGUCAUAGAGGGUGAGAAUCCCGUCUUUGACACGGACUGCCAGGGCUCUGUGAUGCGCUCUCGAAGAGUCGAGUUGUUUGGGAAUGCAGCUCAAAAUGGGUGGUAAAUUCCAUCUAAAGCUAAAUAUUGGGGAGAGACCGAUAGCGAACAAGUACCGUGAGGGAAAGAUGAGAAGAACUUUGGAAAGAGAGUUAAACAGUACGUGAAAUUGCUGAAAGGGAAACGCUUGAAGUCAGUCGCGUUGCUCAGGAUUCAGCCUUGCUUUUUUGCUUGGUGUACUUCCUGUUCGACGGGUCAACAUCAAUUUUGGCCGGUGGAUAAAGGCACAGAGAAUGUGGCAUCUUCGGGUGUGUUAUAGCUCUGGGUCGCAUACAUCGGCUGGGAUUGAGGAACUCAGCACGCCGCAAGGCCGGGUACUUGUACCACGUACGUGCUUAGGAUGUUGGCAUAAUGGCUUUAAUCGACCCGUCUUGAAACACGGACC
rnacentral:rRNA from 1 species